rnacentral:rRNA from 1 species
GGCAUNGCUUUACACAUGCAAGUCGAACGGUAACAGGGUGCUUGCNCCGCUGACGAGUGGCGAACGGGUGAGUAAUGCGUCGGAACGUGCCGAGUAGUGGGGGAUAACGCAGCGAAAGUUGUGCUAAUACCGCAUACCUACUGAGGUAGAAAGUGGGGGACCUUCGGGCCUCACGCUAUUCGAGCGGCCGACGUCUGAUUAGCUAGUAGGUGAGGUAAAGGCUCACCUAGGCGACGAUCAGUAGCGGGUCUGAGAGGAUGAUCCGCCACACUGGGACUGAGACACGGCCCAGACUCCUACGGGAGGCAGCAGUGGGGAAUUUUGGACAAUGGGCGAAAGCCUGAUCCAGCCAUGCCGCGUGUCUGAAGAAGGCCUUCGGGUUGUAAAGGACUUUUGUCNGGGAGGAAAUCCCUAGCGUUAAUACCGCUGGGGGAUGACAGUACCUGAAGAAUAAGCACCGGCUAACUACGUGCCAGCAGCCGNGGUAAUA